rnacentral:misc_RNA from 1 species
AACGGUCUAUACCUGCGGUACCUGUGGAGGGAUCAUUAAUGAGAAACUGCCCCUCGCGGGUAGAUCUCCCACCCUUUGUAAACUUACCUUUGUUGCUUUGGCAGGCCCGUCUCCGGACCGCCGGCUUCGGCUGGCCAGUGCCUGCCAGAGGAUUCUAAAACUCUGUCUGUCAGUGUUGUCUGAGUCUAUAUACAAUCGUUAAAACUUUUAACAAUGGAUCUCUAGAUCGGAAGAGCACAC